UUGUGACUGAACGUCGCAUGAGGUUUGAGGGACAUGUUCUACGUCAAAAUGAAUUACGCACACCAAGAGUUGCGAUAACAUGGAAGCCAAAACAAGGAAAGCGCAAACAGAGACGUCCUCGUAUUACCUGGCGACACACCUUCAUGGAGGACCUCAGAACAGUGGACACCAGGUGGGAGGAGGCUUCAGACAUUACCAGUGAUAGAUCAUUAUGGAGACAGCUUGCCGCCCAAUGCGCCGAACGGCGCCGGAGGACCUAUGUCUAAAAUGUUGAGUCAGAUAUUGAAGCCAGAGCUUUGUAUCUAAGUCAAAGACCACUAGUAUUUGACAGUGUUUACAGAGGACAAGAUGUCCCAGCUCAGUCCAAAAUUCAUAAAGACUGUGUCUCAGCGAAGCAUAAAAGUUGGUCUUGGAUUCAAAACGUCAAUGAAUGUUUAGGCAUUUAUAGUGAAAAUACUGCUAACUAUCAUCAGUUCUACCAUGAUGUUUGCCACCUGGAAGAAGACAUGCUUUCAUUCUUGCUUUGGAUGGACAGUUCAACAGUCAGAGCUCAAGUCAAGACUCAAGAUCCUGAUGUCAUGUUAAAACAUUUCAGAUUAAUAAACAAUUGUUGGACUAUCAGGGCUAGUUAGAUCUUCUCACAGAGCGAAGUUGAGAUAUUCACCCAGUUCAUCACCGCCAAAAACUGCCAGAAUGGCAUUUGAAGGCUAGAGCUCUUGUCCAAUAUCAGCACAAACAUGUGUCAUUAGCAAAAGGGGACUUUGUCAAGAUUUUGGAAAAUUUUGAUGCUGAAAGAUGGAAGAUGGAAUAGAAAGUGAAGUCCCUGCUAUUGUGUUGGUCAUUCCUUCCUGCUUCCAACAGAUUGAUAAAUUAAGAGAACAAAUCAAGGUCAAUAGUUCUAUUGCUGCUAAAAGAUUAAGGUCACAUUUGAUCCAGUUUUUAAGUGCUGCUAUUUCCCAGACACAGUCCAAAGAUUUAUGUUUUUCCUGCUGAAGAUGAUGAAUGAGGCAGCAGACAUCUUGAAAGGAGCUGAUUUCAAGUUCCUUCAACACUCUUUUCAUUUUAUUUAGGAAGAAGCUCAUCAGUCACUUCAAACCAGGUGAUGAUGGAGUCAUAAACAGUAGGAUACAGAGGUGAAACAAAACUGGAGCUUUAGUUUGUUUGUUUGUAGAACUUGGCAUCUACUCCAGACAUUAUUCUGAAGAACACUCAAGUAAAAGAAAAGAAGAAAUGUUAAAGGUUAAGGACUUGGGCUCCAAUCAUACUUACACUUCAAAAGCUUUAAUUUGAAAGGUCUUAUAUUUUUGUGGAAAUAAAUUUUACUAGUGGAGUUUUUGUAGCUGCCAGAGUGGAUCAAGGUGGAUGUGAUAUCUAUUUAUAAACAUGUAUACCAGUAUAUUGUAAUCAGUGAUUUUCAUUUUUUGGUAACAGUUUGUUUCCAUUUAGAUUGCAGUCUUUCUUAUGUGAAAACAAGAUGUCUGCAUAAUCUUAGAGGACAUUUUUAAACUCAUUUAAAUUUAUUAGAUGAAAUAUUUAUAAAACAUACAAUGUAAAUUGUUUUGUAAAAUGAUUAUACAUUUGAGUUCAUAAAAAUGUGUAAUUUUUUAAUGGCAUCAUGUUUCUGCUUAUCUGUAUCUGAUACUGAUGAUGUGUUUUCUAAAUCUAUUACUGCUUCACCAUUGAGGAAAAACUGCACAUGUUUAAACCCAUAUCUGAAGUAACUUUCCAGAAAAAAAAAAGAUGUAUGUUGGACAGUGUCCAAAAUUUCAAAUCAUUUCCUUCAAAAUGUUAUCAAUUUCCUCCAUAACUUCAUAACAUUAUUGAAUUUUUUCCUUCAGAACACAAUUGUAAAUUAUCUUUUUUUUUUUUUUUUUUUGUUAAACCACAAUGAGAGUCUAAUAACUAAUAGUCUAGCAAACAAUUACUUAUAAUUUGCCUUAUUAUUAUACAAUAUUAAGAUUUACUUCUGCAGGGAUGAAAAACUUUUUUUAAAAUACAAUAGACAUGUAUAAUAAUAAAGUACAUUCACACCUGACUCACUCAUAAUUUACAUGUGAAAAGUUUAUAUCAGAUUGUUUCUAUUUAAUGAUUUGAUUGCCAUCAGUGUCUUGUAUCUCUUUUGUGAUGGUAAAGUCACAAAAUGUAGGAAACCCCACUGUGUUUGGUCCAGUAUGUGGGUUAUUAUAUGUAAGUCUAUUGUAUUUUCUAUAUUAUUUUACAAAUGUAAAAAAAAUAAAAAGAAAUUGUUACACUGUU